rnacentral:lncRNA from 1 species
CAGACCAUUUCCUACAACUAUGGCUUGUCUGAGUCCUGAGCCAGCAGAGCUCAGGCCACAGCACCUGCACCCGUUUUCUGCUGCUGCACACAAGGGCUCUGUGCAUUCCGCAUCCAGGUGUGCCCCUCCUCUUCUGGAGGAUUCUUUUUCAGGCUGUCCCAGAGACUUUGCAGCACAGCAUCCUUGCUCUAUUUCUUCCUGCAACAUCUCUGCUGAAGCUCUAUUGCUUUUGGCAACUCUUCCGUCUAUUUUGUGGUUUAGGUGUCUCCUACUUUUACUAAAAAUGGAAUUUGUGUUUUUAUCGCUCAAGUCCUUUUUGCUUUUGGAUUACUUCCAGAAAAUGAAGGGAGGGUUACUAACUUUAUGCCAUCUUCAAACCAGAAGAUCUUAGAUUAGUAAGAUCAUGUUGGCCAUGGCAUGGAGAAUGGGCUGGAGGUGGAGAGACUGGAGGUUGGAAGUCCAGUUAGGAGAUUGCUCCUGCGCUGGGGAGUUGGUGUUAGGACAGAAGAUCCAAGACGCGUUUCAGAGGAGCCCCUCUUCUUGGGCCUGCGAUUCCUCACCUGGAAGGGAGAAGAGUGGACUUCCUGCCUAGAGAACACCUUGGUAAACUCUUUGUGGUUCCUGUCAUGAGAAGGUGUGCAGCUUAGGGAAAAAGCCUGUGAGCUCUGGAAUCAGAUGGAACUGGAUAUGAAUUUCCAUUUAGUGCUUGUUGGAUUAAAUGUGAUGCUAGCUUCUCCCAGCCGAAAGAAUAAAACUGGUAAGAGGAAGGGAAAUGCAGCCUCAGUAAGGAGGCCUCCAUUCUGGAAGGGCUUCCCAGGCCCAGAGAAGGGAGAAAGUAAUUUGGAACCACCCAAGUAUUGGUGAUGCCAGGCCUCACCCUACCCUGGGGAUAUUUGAAUCUCAAAAAGGGAGCAUGGGAAUCUGACAAAGCACUUGCAUGUAUAAAGAACUCCUCCAAAUCAACAAGGCAAAAACCUCAUUAGAUACAUAGGCAAAAACCUCAGAAGAGCCACAUCACAAAGGAGCACCUCCAAAUGGCCAAGAAGCAUAUGAAAAUAUGUUCAAUCUCAUUAGCCAACAGGGAAUUCAAAUUAGAACUACACCAGGAUGGCUGAAAGUGCAAAGACUGACAAUAUCAAGGGCUGGUGGGGAUGCAGAACAACUGGAACUCUCCUAUGCACUGCGGAAGGGGUAAAUUAAUACCGCCCCUUUGGAAGAACAGUUUAGAAGCAUCACUAAAGCUGAAUAUAUUCAUGCCUACUCCGGAAAUCCUGAGCCCAGGUAUAUAUCUAACAGAAGUUUGUUUAUAAAGGCACCAAAAGUCAAUUACACAAGAUACAAGAAUGUUCAUAGUAGAGCCGUUUGUAUUAGUCAUAAACUGGAAACCACCCAAAUGCCCAUCAGUGGUGGCUCCCUUUGAAGAACUGCCUUGGGGUUCAUGUUGCAGCAUCAAACAGGGAUGGAAGAUGCAUCUUGCUUUAGCAGCAGGAGCCUGGAAAGCAGCUGAAGCCCUGGAGGGUGCCUGGCACACAGAAUCUUGUGCUGAGCCCGGAGCACAAUGGGAGCGGGCUGGCGGGGUGGGUUCACAGCUGGACUGGGAGCAGCAGACAUACAGGCCGUAGGCACAGACAUAUAAAGACAGUCAUGCAGAUUGCAGGAUGCCUGAGAGCACAGACUCUCACAUGCACAAAUACGUGCAUGAUCGCCAGUGUGCAUCCAGACAGCCCCACAUGCAUGCACACGCAUGCACACAUGUGAUGUGUACAUAGAUGGACACAUGUCUAUGCCCACAAACACUGCAGAGACACAGAAGUGUCUGGCAAGGAACACUAUUUUGUCCUCAAUUUUCUGCCAGUGAGAGUCUACUGACUCCAUCUCUGAAAUGUCUCUACUUAUUGUCCCUCUUCUCCACCUGCACCACAUCCCUAGUCCCUGAAACUCCCACCGAGACCCCUGGGCAAUAGCAAAGUCUGCACAGGAUUCCUGCUCCGCCUCUACCCCACCCUUAAGCCCAUCCUACAUGCAAGAGCAGGAGUUAUCUGGGUAUCAAGCAAAUCUGACCACAUCACCUCCCCACUGCUUAAAACCCUUUCCUACAGGAUGAAGUUGAAAUCACUUGACAUCCCAUAUAAGGCCCUUGACUGUCUGGCAUCAGCCAUAGUCUGGCCUCAGGCCCUGGCAUGGAGUCCCCUGGACUCAGUGCUCUGGCUGAGGGCCUCCAGGAUGAAGAUACCCUGUGCAAAGCCUCACACUUUUGCUGUUGCUGGGCUCACUGUGUGAAAUUCCCUCCUCCCUCCUUCCACCUUCCCUAUGCUGAACUGCCACUCCUCCAUCCUCCAUGGCCAGCUAAGCCAACACCUCCCCACUUCCUCCUGACAACCCAGGCACAGCCACUGACCUGUCCCAUGGCUGUCACAGCCCUUUCUUGGGCUCUCAAUGGUAUCAUUGUCACCUGUGUGCUCAUGAGCCUCUGCCACUCAACUCCAAGCACAUCAAAUAAAGAGCUCAAAACAUAUCGGAUACUCAACAAA